rnacentral:rRNA from 1 species
UGGGGAAUUUUCCGCAAUGGGCGAAAGCCUGACGGAGCAGCGCCGCGUGAGGGAGGAAGGCUUUUGGGUUGUAAACCUCUUUUCUCAAGGAAGAUUUCAGACGGUACUUGAGGAAUCAGCAUCGGCUAACUCCGUGCCAGCAGCCGCGGUAAUACGGAGGAUGCAAGCGUUAUCCGGAAUAAUUGGGCGUAAAGCGUUCGUAGGUGGUUUUGUAAGUCUGCUGUUAAAGCGUGUAGCUUAACUACAUAUAGGCGGUGGAAACUGGGAGGCUAGAGUACGGUAGGGGUUGAGGGAAUUCCCAGUGUAGCGGUGAAAUGCGUAGAUAUUGGGAAGAACACCAGUGGCGAAGGCGCUCAACUGGGCCGUAACUGACACUCAGGGACGAAAGCUAGGGUAGCGAAAGGGAUUAGAUACCCCCGUAGUCC